GUCGAUGCCCCGGUAGCUCAGAGGUAGAGCUCCUGCAUAUAGUGAGCGAAAGCGCCUAGCAACAACUAGCAGGUUCGAAUCCUGCCCGGUGGCAC